AUUGAACGCUGGCGGCAUGCUUUACACAUGCAAGUCGAACGGUAACAGGGAGCUUGCUCCGCUGACGAGUGGCGAACGGGUGAGUAAUGCGUCGGAACGUGCCGAGUAGUGGGGGAUAACGCAGCGAAAGUUGUGCUAAUACCGCAUACGUACUGAGGUAGAAAGUGGGGGACCUUGGGGCCUCACGCUAUUAGAGCGGCCGACGUCUGAUUAGCUAGUAGGUGAGGUAAAGGCUCACCUAGGCGACGAUCAGUAGCGGGUCUGAGAGGAUGAUCCGCCACACUGGGACUGAGACACGGCCCAGACUCCUACGGGAGGCAGCAGUGGGGAAUUUUGGACAAUGGGCGAAAGCCUGAUCCAGCCAUGCCGCGUGUCUGAAGAAGGCCUUCGGGUUGUAAAGGACUUUUGUCGGGGAGGAAAUCCCCAGCGUUAAUACCGCUGGGGGAUGACAGUACCUGAAGAAUAAGCACCGGCUAACUACGUGCCAGCCGCCGCCGUAAUAC
rnacentral:rRNA from 1 species